AACGAACGCUGGCGGCAUGCCUAACACAUGCAAGUCGAACGAGAUCUUCGGGUCUAGUGGCGCACGGGUGCGUAACGCGUGGGAAUCUGCCCUUUGGUUCGGAAUAACAGUUGGAAACGACUGCUAAUACCGGAUGAUGACGAAAGUCCAAAGAUUUAUAGCCAGAGGAUGGGGCCGCGGAGGAUUAGCUAGUUGGUGUGGUAAAGGCGCACCAAGGCGACGAUCCUUAGCUGGUCUGAGAGGAUAAUCAGCCACACUGGGACUGAGACACGGCCCAGACUCCUACGGGAGGCAGCAGUGGGGAAUAUUGGACAAUGGGCGAAAGCCUGAUCCAGCAAUGCCGCGUGAGUGAUGAAGGCCUUAGGGUUGUAAAGCUCUUUUACCCGGGAUGAUAAUGACAGUACCGGGAGAAUAAGCUCCGGCUAACUCCGUGCCAGCCGCCGCGGUAA
rnacentral:rRNA from 1 species